rnacentral:lncRNA from 1 species
GAAAGCAUGCCGGGAGGCUCUGCGUGCUGCUCUGUAUGUGUGUCUGUCUUUUGCCUUUGACGAGGGGGAUGACACUGAAGUCUAGAGCAGAGCCGAAGUCAUAAGGGGGUUGGGAGGUCCUCGUCUGCACGCCCCCCCACGCCCCGCAUUCUGCUGGGGCUGGAGCAGGAAGCGAGAGCAGCAGCGGCGGCGCGGCUCUUCGCUUUGCUAACAUUGAGAGACAGCGCCUGUCAUGCUUGUGAGCAGGAGCCGCCGCCGCCUGCUCCCUGCCGCCGCCUCCUCCUCCUCCUCCUUCUGUUGCUGUGCUGCAUUGGGAAUAAUCGUUCUGCCAUUGACUGGAGGGACGGAAGCUCUUGCACGGGGAAUGCCUAGCCAAGCUCUGAGAAGAGGCUUUACUGCUUCUAUUGCCUGAGGAAAAAAACAAGAAGGGGGGGGGGAAUUGAGGACGGGGAGGGAAGGAAGACACCCCCUCUUGCAAGAAUGAGCUGAGCGAUCCUGCUUGCUUGCUUCUCUCUCUCUCUCUCUCUCUCUUUUACACCCGCGAGUGCGCUCGCGCGUUCCUCUCCUUUUCGACAAGUAACUGGAUGGCUCAAGGACUGAGCGCAGGCGGAGGGCAAACUUGGAAAGGCCGCCGGUGCCUUCGGGAACUGCCGCUGCCUUCCGGGACCCCAUUCCCGCCCGCGCCGCUGUUGGAGGAGGCAUCUUUUCACAGGGCGGGUGAAGAAGGCUGCCUGCCAAGACGAUUGUUGUGGGUGCCUGCCCGGGGGUGUUUCUGAACGCGGUCCUAAUGCCUGUCACUUCUCGGGACGCGGUACUGGUGGCAGCGGCUGGAGGCAAGAGCCUCCCGAGCCCUGUGCAGCCUUGCUUAGCUGCUGUUCUUGGCGUCUGAUUGGAUACAGCCUGGGUUCUGCGUGGGACAGCGGCGCUGCGGCGAGGGGUCUCGGAAAGAGAACGGAACAAAACAUGGGUUAUUGUAGCGGCAGGUGCACGCUGAUCUUUAUCUGUGGCAUGCAACUGUAA